GAUGAACGCUAGCGGCAGGCUUAAUACAUGCAAGUCGAGGGGUAGCAAGAUUGUAGCAAUACAAUUGUUGACGACCGGCAAACGGGUGCGGAACACGUACACAACCUUCCUACAAGUGGGGAAUAGCCCAGAGAAAUUUGGAUUAAUACCCCGUAACAUAGCGAUGUGGCAUCACAUUGCUAUUAUAACUUCGGCGCUUGUUGAUGGGUGUGCGGCUGAUUAGAUAGUUGGCGGGGUAACGGCCCACCAAGUCUACGAUCAGUAGCUGAUGUGAGAGCAUGAUCAGCCACACGGGCACUGAGACACGGGCCCGACUCCUACGGGAGGCAGCAGUAAGGAAUAUUGGACAAUGGACGCAAGUCUGAUCCAGCCAUGCCGCGUGAAGGAUUAAGGUCCUCUGGAUUGUAAACUUCUUUUAUAAGGGACGAAAAAAGGUCUUUCUAGAUCGUCUGACGGUACCUUAUGAAUAAGCACCGGCUAACUCCGUGCCAGCCGCCGCAGUAAAAC
rnacentral:rRNA from 1 species